rnacentral:sRNA from 1 species
UUCCAGAGGUGGGGGACAGAGUCGGUUUGUUGGCAAGCCGCAACUCAAAAUCAUCAUACUUUCGGCAGGGGAGAAUUGGUUAUUUUACUCCUCUCUGUAUGGAACCCCGCAAAGCGCCGUGUCCACCCGAGCAGUGGGCAGGAAGAAAGAGCCCUUCCCUCCCUUCCUGUUCAGCGCAAGCUGGGAGGAAAUAAUAAGCCUGUCCGGGGAGGGGCCCGCAGUUAGCCCAUCUUAAGAAGCCACCGCGAACACAGAUUAGAUGUGCACCUAGGAAAUUCACCCAUGCCGAGUUUGGCUAACGGGCUCCCCGCGGAUUACCCAGGCACUUGGAUAUCUACUGUACAAAGGAGAGCCUGAGACAAUAGAAAAGAAUCGAGCGGAG